AGGUGUUUUAGGGAGACAGGAUAAUGAAGGUGUUUUAGGGAGACAGGAUAAUGAAGGUGUUUUAGGGAGACAGAUUAAUAAAGGUGUUUUAGGGAGACAGGUUAAUAAAGGUGUUUUAGGGAGACAGGAUAAUAAAGGUGUUUUAGGGAGACAGGUUAAUAAAGAUGUUUUAGGGAGACGGGUUAAUAAAGGUGUUAUAAGGGAUUUAUUAGUCUUUUAGCUUCACUAAUUUCUGUCUUUUUGAUUGUAGGUUGAGUUUUUUUCAUUUUAUCUUUGUUGAAAGGAAACCACUUCAGACUUUCGUUCAGUUUGAUCUCAAAAUAAAUGGAUCCAUAGCAAAAGGAAUCUUGUGACUCAUGGCACAAUUGUUUUAUUUUAAAUCCAGUAUUGAGAUUGAAACCAUUUUCCUAUACGGAAGUGUUAAAUUGAUGCAUCAAAUUUCAACAAAACAUCAAAAAUCAUUGAUCAGUUUGCUUCCAUUGUUGUCCUUUGUGAUCCUCACUUUAGCCUGUGUUUAAUGUGUAUCUCCAUCUUUUUUGGUUCAAGCUAAUUUCCCAUGCUUUGUUGAUUGCCUUUUUUGUCUGUUAAAGAAAAAAGUACAUUAUUGUGAUUUCUUUCUUUUCCUUUCAAGGUUUCCUAAUAAGAUGCCUACGUAAGUGUUCUUUUAGUUUGUACAUUUGUACAAAAAUGAAUCCUGCUUGAACAGGACAAAAGAAAAACGUACACUGCAAAAAUACAUUUUCAUGUUUCUCGAAUGAUAAAGAGAUCAUGCACUUUCUGUACUGUCAGUCUGCUUUUGCAUCUGUAAAAUUUUUGUGGGAAAGUCAUUUUAAUUUCUGAAAUCAAAUUGAAAUAUACCCACACUUCAGGCAGUUCUGCUUUCUGCAUUUUCACUGAGUUUAACAUUAGCUACCUUAUCUUAUCUUAUCUAACUAACAAGACGACAGACUGAAUGUAUAAUGCUAGUACAGAUACAGGUGCCUCCGAAAUUAAGCUCCAACAUCUGCUCUGUGAUUAGGUCCGGAAGAAACGAAGAAUUUGACUUCUUCACACCAGGUAUGCUAAUAAAACAAUGUUUCAUAAUUUGUUUCAAGUAACUUUUGUUGUUUGUUUCAAGGCCCUGUGUUUUUUAAACUUACCAUCUGACAAUGUGGUCGUUCAAAUUUUGUGUCACAUCAGAGUGACAAAUAGCAUAUAUUUAUGCCACGUUACUAUACAAGAUACAAGAUACAAGAUUGGCUAUCUUACCUCACACAAAUUAAACAGGCUGUAUUCCAAAGCAAUGCUAGCCAGUGUUUCCUAAAUUGUGUCAAAUAACUUGGCCCUGUGUGUACAAGCAUACAGCACAUUAAUGGGGCAAACAUAUGUGUGGAUAGUCAAGAGUGAUUUAAUAGGCCUCAAUAUGUCAAAUUUAUAUCUGAAUUUGUGUAUUUAUCCACAUGGCCUCUCUGUAGUGUGAAUGAUUGUAUGUAUGUUUCUUGGUAUAAAUGUCUGUUUGUAAAUGUGAAUGUUACAUGCUGCUAGGGAAAUGUCCCCAUGGGGAUAAUGAAGUAUGCUAUAUAUAUAUGUGUGUGUGUGUGUAUAUGUAUGUAUGUUACAAUCAGUAUUUAUUGUAUGUUGCAAAUAUACAAGAGUAACUUGGAAUUUUUGUACGUUGAAAACGUUUUUUUUAAUUUUUUUUUUAAUGUGAAUUUGGCCUUAACAAGCCAAUAUAGAGAUACUGCUACUACUGACCAAAAAAAAAAAUCACAAUUUAUACAGCCAAUUUAUGAGCAAUUAUUUGCUGUCUGAAAAUUUGGAAUAACUAUCAAUGUAUACCCUGAAAUAUAAAUUGCUAAACAAACUAAUUAUUUGUGGGAAAGCAUUGAUUGGUUCACUGAUAUGCACUGAAAUAGUGCUGGAUCAUAAGCAUUCAGAAGUAACACUGCUGUCUUUCUGAUUGUAGACUGAAGUUCCUUUGAACCAAGCCACUCACUCGACACAUGAACGGAGAAUAGAAGAAAGAGAUCCCACUUACCUGAGAGAUGACCUAUCAUGGUCAGGCUCCCCCCCAUUCCCUGCUGACUUAUAAAUCUUUAUGAGCUUGAUCAUGUGAGUGAGUGUGUGUGUGUGCGUGUGUGCGUGUGUGUGUGUGUUUAUCUGCACAGUGGGCUGGAUGCUAAUGAGUGCAGGCCGGUCUCCUGGCUCGGGUGGAGGCUGAGAGAGAGAGAGAGAGAGAAACCAAAAGAAGAGCGAAUAUGUGGUCACUGUAAGACAGGAGAGGUGGACACAGAUGCACUUCCUCCUUACUUGCACAAAAUAUUUACAAAUUAGAAAAAACUUUUCCAAAAUUAUCCCAAAUUAUAAAUAAUUUUAAUUUCAUCUCUAAAGAAGAACAGUGUGCAAUUCUUCUUGGGGAAGGAACAACAGCCCCAAUUGCGGCACAGUUCAUUUCAGCCUGUCAUAACCUGAGGGACAGUGAGUGACCACCCACCCCAUAUAAACAUGUACAUAUUUAUUGAUUUACUUAUGCUGUUAUUGUUUUUUUAAGCAUAUUUUUAUUCAAAAGAAAGGCAUCAGCAUACAGUUUUAGAGCGUAAUUUCCCCCCCCCAUCUUUUUCCCCCAGAACAGUCCUGAUACUGUCAACAUAACAAGGAUAAAGAAAAGUAGAAAUUAUAUAGAAACAAUAAUAACUAGAAACUUAAAUAAUGGAUAAAAAUAAUUAAGUAAAAUAUACAGACAGAAAAUAAAUUUAAAAAAUAAAAAGAUAUGUGGAGGACAUUUGUCAAUGGACUAUGCUCCCUAGAGGAGCAAAGGGCUUAAGAAGAUGAUGAUGAGAUAUAUAUAUGUAUAUAUAUAUAUAUAUAUAUAUAAUAAUUGCUAAGACAUGACAAGGAUGAUGCUGUUAUUGUUAUAUGUUGUUACAUUUAUCAUUAUUAUUUUGCAUAUUAUAUAUAUGUAUGCUUUGGCAAUAAUUACAUUUGCAUUUCAUGCUAGUAAAGCAACUUGAAUUGAAUUAAAUUGAGAGAGAGAAAGGCCAAGAGCUGAGCCCAAAGAACAGCCCUCUCACCUGUCCUGAGGCUCAGUUCACUAACCCCCACCAACGCCAUGCAGCCUCAGUACAGCUCAGUAAAAAGGGGGGCGGGGGGGAGGUUGUUUAGAAGACUCUUUUUAUCAGUGGUAUUUCAAAGAAGGAAGACCGGCAGCUUUAUUUGUGAAAAGCAAACCCCCCAGAGGACCCUGUACCUAAAACAUGCAGUAUAAUUGCACAGCACAUAUGAUGUACAGUAUUGUAAUGAAAUGGUACAUUUUGUGUGAACAUAUAUAUAUGUGCAUGUCCUACUGUAGUGUGUGUGUGUGUGUGUUUUCUUUCUCUGUCUUUUUUUUUGUGCCAUUUUCUCCCCAAUUUAGUCGUUGUUGACAGGGAGGAACUGGCUAUGACACCAUGCUGCCCAGGACUCUGAAAGCAACUGAUAGAUAAAAGACUGAACAAUUAUUUCUGAUUUCAAGCUUGUUUAAGACUAAGUGGUCACCAUGGUGCUUAUUUAGUCUUCAUGCUAUAUGGCUAGACACAGCCAGUCAUUUACUUUGUUAAAUCUCACUGUAUGCUUAUGUAUUAACCAUGUACCAUUCAUGUAUGGAAUUAUGUAUGUUAUUGUUAAGACACGUUUUGCUUAUAAAAGCAAGGACCGCCCCUGCUUUCUUCAGUUUGGCCUUAUCCACCUUGUUGUGCGUAGGUGCCGGACUCUUUCUGCAGAAAUAAAUCCUAUUUCUUAUAUGA